rnacentral:rRNA from 1 species
CCUACGGGGGGCUGCAGUGGGGAAUAUUGGGCAAUGGGCGCAAGCCUGACCCAGCAACGCCGCGUGAAGGAAGAAGGCUUUCGGGUUGUAAACUUCUUUUCUCAGGGACGAAGAAAGUGACGGUACCUGAGGAAUAAGCCACGGCUAACUACGUGCCAGCAGCCGCGGUAAUACGUAGGUGGCAAGCGUUAUCCGGAUUUAUUGGGUUUAAAGGGUGCGCAGGCGGAGGUGCAAGUCAGCGGUAAAAUGUCCGGGCUCAACCCGGGCCGGCCGUUGAAACUGGGGAUCUUGAGUGGGCGAGAAGUAUGCGGAAUGCGUGGUGUAGCGGUGAAAUGCAUAGAUAUCACGCAGAACUCCGAUUGCGAAGGCAGCAUACCGGCGCCCGACUGACGCUGAGGCACGAAAGCGUGGGGAUCGAACAGGAUUAGAUACCCCGGUAGUC